GUUACAGUGGCCGAGUGGUUAAGGCGACACCCUGCUACUUUCCUUAGCAGCCUAGGUGUUGGGCAUUGCCUGCGCAGGUUCGAAUCCUGUCUGUGACG